UACACUCCUACGGGAGGCAGCAGUGGGGAAUUUUGGACAAUGGGCGAAAGCCUGAUCCAGCCAUGCCGCGUGCAGGAUGAAGGCCUUCGGGUUGUAAACUGCUUUUGUACGGAACGAAACGGCCUUUUCUAAUAAAGAGGGCUAAUGACGGUACCGUAAGAAUAAGCACCGGCUAACUACGUGCCAGCAGCCGCGGUAAUACGUAGGGUGCAAGCGUUAAUCGGAAUUACUGGGCGUAAAGCGUGCGCAGGCGGUUAUGUAAGACAGUUGUGAAAUCCCCGGGCUCAACCUGGGAACUGCAUCUGUGACUGCAUAGCUAGAGUACGGUAGAGGGGGAUGGAAUUCCGCGUGUAGCAGUGAAAUGCGUAGAUAUGCGGAGGAACACCGAUGGCGAAGGCAAUCCCCUGGACCUGUACUGACGCUCAUGCACGAAAGCGUGGGGAGCAAACAGGAUUAGAAACCCCUGUAGUCCCAUGA
rnacentral:rRNA from 1 species